AUACGGAGGGUGCAAGCGUUAUCCGGAAUCAUUGGGUUUAAAGGGUCCGCAGGCGGACUGAUAAGUCAGUGGUGAAAUCCCGUAGCUUAACUACGGAACUGCCAUUGAAACUGUCAGUCUUGAAUUCGGUCGAAGUGGGCGGAAUGUGUCAUGUAGCGGUGAAAUGCAUAGAUAUGACACAGAACACCGAUAGCGAAGGCAGCUCACUAGGCCUGAAUUGACGCUCAGGGACGAAAGCGUGGGGAGCAAACAGGAUUAGAUACCCUAGUAGUCC
rnacentral:rRNA from 1 species